rnacentral:tRNA from 1 species
CAAGGUGUAGCUUAGUCAAAGCGCCCGGCCUACACCCGGAAGACUUCACAUGUUUAUGAACAUCUUGA